GUUGAGCAUUUUUAAUAAUUCAAGCAUCUCAUCCCAACCACAUUUCUUAACCUCUGGAGUCGGGGAAAUGGCAGUACAUUGUUGCUUUAAUGAUGCUAUGUUAGUUGGUCAGUCAAAUUAAUGAUUUGUAUUAAAACCUAUGCAGAACCAUGUGGUGGCAGUGGAAAAUUGGGUGUUGUGCCGCAUAUUUUUGAAGAAAAGAAGUGGUGCUACUAAAAGAGAGGAUGACGGCCUGCAAUGUUGCAACGAGAAGGGAGUUGGUAAAGCAAGGAGAAAGAGCCCUGUUUUCUAUGAAUUCCUGAGCAAGGAGAGGACAGACCUAUAUCUUGCCCCAGCAUCCUCCUCAUCUUGCUCCAGUGGGAUCACACAGGUGUCAAAUGAUAACGCGGAUGACCAUGAAGAAAGCAGCAGUUGCAAUAGUUUUCCUUAUUUUAGAAGAAAACCUUAAAAAAAGCCACACUCACACUUUUGUUUUCUUGUCUAUAUCAGUAGUGGGGCUUUGAGUAGCCCUUCAGAAUAAUAACCUCUUUAAAGAAAAAGCAAUCAAGUGUUUGGUAAUUUCAAGUCUUUGGGUCUCUUUUGUCUGUGAUUACUACGCAGCAGAAAUAGUUGUCAGUAGAAACCCCAAAAAAAAUUUAUUAAAGGAAACAAUAUAUGGUUGUGCAUGCAGUAACUAUUACCUAAAGAGCAAACUUUCUUGGGCACAUGGCGGUUCCCCUUGUAAUUAAUGAAAAGCUAAAGACAUAUUACCCUCUUUUUUUAUACAUUUUACAAAAGUCAUCGUGAAACGGGCUAUGGUUCAAGUUCAACAUUAUGAACACGCAGAGCAAAGUCCCUUUAGGAAAAGGCAAAUGGUUUUGAGAGAAGAAAAAUGCAUGCAAAUCUCAGGAAAGAUAAAAAGUCUAGGAGAAUAUUUGAUGCACUAUUAAUGUAUAAAAUUUAUGCAAUAAAAAAGUAAUAAAUCUUUUCUAUAUUUAAGUAUUUUGACUUUGGCAAAAGCAAAACGCUUUUUGGGAGAGCACCGGAAAGAAUAAGCAUAGGAUUGUUGGAAAUCAGCAUUUGCACGAUCCAAGCUCCGGGAAGGGUGUUAUCGGUUGAAAAAGAACCCAAUUCUCCUCUCUAUUAUUUCAUAAUGGAUCGAAUCUCCAAAAACUCUGAGCUGGCUUCAUAUUCUUAUCUUCCCAUAUACUCCAUCUAGUAUAAUGGGUUUAUAAAAAAUGAAAAGCAUCAAUUUCUAUAGUUAGAAGCAGACAUUCUGAGCUUGAUUUUCUCAGCACUUGUAACUACUGUCGCAUACUCAAAUAAAAUAUAUAUAAAAAAAAUACACGAAAAAGAGUAGUCUGAGGUUGUAAGAAAAACAGGGUAAUCUAAUUUCGGAAUAAACAUGACAUGACUAGUAGGUGGGAGAUGGAGGAGUUCGACCGACGGUCCAAUCCAACUGUCCUCCCUAAUCCUCCAUCUCCCUCUUAUUACCUUUUAGUUGUGGGUUAGCAUAUGAUAUUUUGGGGCACUCUUGCGAACAUUAUGCUGUUAAUCAUCCUCGGUCAUAUUACAAUUUAUGAAGUAUUCCUUGAACGUAAAGAAAACGUAAGUAAUUGAACACCCUUUUUCUAGUUUCUAUAUCUACCCUUCACGCAUUUCAAAUUCUUGUUUCUCAAGUCCAGCCCAUAUAGCAAGCCAACAGCGUAAGGGUGGGGGGUUUUAACAAUAUCACUGUCCACCUAGCCCUGCAGUUUGGCUCUAUUAACAAACAAUAUACAUAGUUGACAUUAACAUACAAUGUCAAGUUAAUCUCAGUUUGUUAGAUUUAAUCUGAAUUGUAUCAGUUCUUAGUCCAUAUGUCCUGUGAUAUUUUGAUAAUUAUUCAAACAAUUUAUUUGUAAUGAUUUAAUAUUUGUAAAAAACAUAGAAUGCACACCUUAAUUCUUAGUAUUUACAUCAUUAUUAGUUAUGAAUAAAGGGGGUUUAAGGUUGGUCACAACUUACAAGGACGUGAUAUCAUAAACCUGAGAGGUUAAAAAGUGGGACAUGGAGCAUUACAUAAUUGACAAGUAGAUGCGAGAUAGACUUAAGGCGGCAGACAUACACCUUAAUAAAUAAAAAUAUGCCGACCAGAGUUUCGUAUGACCAUGGUUUUACAAUUAGCUCUAGCUGGUGGAGUUCUUUACGUCAUUUUUGUAUACGAAAAUGUUUUAUUUUAAUGAGAAAAAAGAGAAAAGAGAUUAAGCCAAAUAUUGAACAAAACCAUGUUGCUGUAAGAAAAACAAAUGCUGAAGCCAAAGAACAUAAUUUAUUUUGGGAGAGAUUAAAAUAAAGAGAGGUUAGCACAAAGAGCCAUUUCCCACUUAACAUCAUAUUUUACUAAAAACACAAUAAUUGCAGCCUUUGACUCUGUACAAAAGGAAAAAAAUAUAUAAUAAAAAGGCAAAGCAAAAGAAAGAAAAUGGAAGUUUGGGUCACGAAACCCAACUUUUCUUUCCAUACUAAUUUUUUAUACAAGUGAGGUGGGAGAGCAUUUGCUUGUGGGAAUCUCUUUUUUUCCUUAUAAUAUAUUAUCUGAAAACAUAAAUUAAAUUAUCAAAUUUCCAAUUCAAUACUAUAAAUUUGUGGGAAUGGAGUUUUCCCUUCUCCCUACGGAACCAGGCUUUGUCUAUGUUUGAGGCUCCGGUUUCACUUCAACUGUCCCACCCUUACCCUCUUGCUCCUUUCUUUUCCCUAAAUUAACCUCACACUUUUUUCAAUACUUCAAUACUGCCAUAUCUUUCUCACUAAUAAUAAUACAAGUUAUAAUUACUUGUACAAUUAUAAUUCAAUAUUAUUCAUUACAUUAUCCACCUUGAGAAUUAAUUUUAUCAUGGUAUACCUAUAAGUAAAUCCAUACAUAUCAUCCCAUAUAUAUUUGAUUAUCGACUAAAUUUAAAGCAUGGCAAAGUUGAAAUUAAAUUAUAUAUUUUUAUAAAAAUUAAAAUGUAAUUUUAUAAUUUUAAUAGUUUAUAUUUUUAUAAUAUUUAAAAGAUUAAAUCAAAAUUUAUUAUUUUUGGGGGUAAAGUGGAAUUUUAUCAUUUACUAAAUUAAAAUGUUAUAAAUUUUGAAAGGUCAAAAGUGAAUUUUUCCGUUUUAGGGGACCAAAGGCCUUACCAACUUCAGUGCUAUUUCUUUAUAUAUUUUAAAAAUUAUUAUUUAAUACAUUGACGGUGAAAUUUUUUAUCUUCAGAAUGUCCACAAAACAACCACCUAUCUUUAAUUGAUAUUUUAAGAAAAAAAAACUAAAUAAAUAAAACACAAGUCAAUUUUUUAACACUAUUUAUAAAAUGGAAAAACUUUACCACCCAUUUAUUAAAAUAAUUAUCCAUAGUUUGAGUUAAAUAAUAUGAUAACCAUAUAAUUUUAGUUAAAGAAAUGGAUUCUCUCUGUGAAAGCAAUGGGAAAGGGAAUCUCCUUAGUGAUCCGAGCGCCAAAAAGGUUUGUUUCAAGGAUUCGGAGUCUAAUAUAGACAUCGAGGUGGUUGUUGAAUUAAUGCCAUCACCAACCUUGUCCUGGAAAGACAUGGUCCUGGGGAAAGGUUUUAUUGAAUCAAAAAGGGUGAGCGAAGUUGGCUUUACUGAUGGGAAUUUCUCUAUUCUUGAAGGCGAUAUCAAGAAGUCGGUGGUUAACAGUAUCGCCGCUAUUGUUUUUUCGGAUAGAGUACACAAACUAUUAGUCAAUGACAUGUCUACCUCCGUAGUUAUUAAGCUGUUGGAGAGGAAUAUUGAUUGGUUGUGAGGCUCUGCAAAAUAAGGUUUAUGGACUAUGGAGACCGUCUCAACCUUUUCAACUAAUGGAUAUAGAAAAAGGCCAUUUCUUAGCCAAGUUCCAAAAUUUUGAUGAUUAUGAGAAGGUUCUAUCAUAGGGACUUUAGCUUAUCUUCAGGCAAUAUCUAACAGUACAACCCUGGACAAUUGAAUUUAAUCUUGCAAAUUAUUAUCCUAGUAUUGUUCUUGCCUAGAUUAGAUUCCCAAGACUUCCUAGCUAUCUCUAUAAAAAGGAGGUUUUAUGAGAAAUUGGGAGAAUGGUUAGGAAGGUGACCAAAUUGGAUUUCAAUACAUAUAGUAGAACGAGAAGAAGAUAUGCACGAAUAGAAGUUUAUAUCAAUCUGGAAAAAUCAUUUAUUUCAAAAGUUGUAAUAAAUGAGAAUCUGCAACAUAUUGAGUAUAAAAGUGAAACAGUCCGUUUUCAUUGAACUCAGAACAGUGGUUUCGAGACCACAAAUUUGAAGUAAAAAAAUUAUAUUAUUAUUAUUUUAUGUUCUAUUGUAUGAUAAAAAUACAGUAUAAAAAUUUCGUUAAGAAAUUUUAUCGUUUACAUGCCUAAUUUGAUGAAAAGGACUAAAUUGCAUUAAGUGCAAAAGUUGAGUUCUAAUAGCUAGAGGUAUUAAAUAGCUAUAGAAUUUGAAAUUUGAGGUCUUUAUAUAGUAAAUAUACCAUUAAAAUGCUUAAUGGUUAAGCAUGAGUAGUCAUCAUUGAAAAUUUAAUAAAUUGUUAAGGGUAAUUUUGAAAAUUAAUGGGUAAAGUGAUAUUAAAUAAAAUAAAAAAAAAUCUAUUAUCAUCAUCUACCACCAAAAUAAAAAAUAAAAAAAGAGAAAACAUAUCCAUGGAAGCUUAAGAUAUUAGCAAGCUUAUUUGGCUCAAUUAGGUAUGUAUCAUUGUCCCCUUUUUUAUGAUUUUUAUGUUUCGAGAUCGUAAUAUCUUAAUCUAGCUAACUCGGGGAUUAAUUUACAAAACCAUUAAAGUAUUAGAGUUUUUUCAUUGAUGACUAUGCUUGAAUUUUGAAGCUUUAUGAUAGAAAAUGAAAUAUUGUUGUUAGAUAAACAACUUUUUUAAAGAGAAUUUUGAUGAAAUUAUCAAUUAAUGAUUAAAAUGAAAAAGAUGAUAAAUUUAUGGUAAAAUUGUGAAUUUUUAUGAAAUAUAUGCGCUGCUAUUAAUAGGUGUAAAAAUCGGCUACGCUUAAGUAAGGAUUAAAUUGUGUGAAUUCCAUUUUUCGAGCCUAGGGACUAAAUUACAAUGAAUUAAAAGUAUAUGGGUAACAUAGUAAUUUUUUCCAAAAAUGUGUGUUGGACUAAAUUGAAUAUGAACUAUAUUUAAUUGAGUUAAAUUCAUUCGUAUAGAUCCGGUAAGACCUAGUACAGAGUUAGAUCGAGGCAAAGGAAAAAUAUUGGAUUAGUCGCCUUCGUAUCUACAUAAACUCAUCGAGAUAAGUUCGUAUAAUUAAAUUGUACAUUAAUAUGUGUUAAAUUGAAUCAUUGUUUGUGAAUUGUACAAUUGUCAUGAAUAAAUACCGGUUGUAUAUUCAACGAUUACUGAGUCUCGUUUGAACCUUAUGAAAUUCGUAGAAUACAAAUAACAUGUCAUUAGGGUUACCGAUUUGGUUGGGGUCUUGCAUGUGUUGCGGACACACCACAGCUUGCAUGAGCUUCCCGUUAUUCAGCUCAAAUGAGUUUACUAUUUACAGCUUGUAUGAGCAUACAUGAAUAUGAACUGACGGAUUAUAGUUCAGUGCACCUCGUAUGUAUUCCCCGUGUAUCCAACAAUAUUUUAAAUGGUUCAUCAGGCACAGUUCUGUUAUGAAAUCAUAUAAGUUUGAUAUGAACUAUUACCAAUAUAUACAUUAAAUACAUUAAAUAUGAUUAUUUAAUGAAUUCCACCAUGUGUGUUGGAUUUUAUAUGUGAUUUUCAUGGCUAAUAUGUUGGUGAUCAUAUGUUUAGGCUUUUGGCCAAAUUGAUUGAGAUAUGAUAUGUUUACUUGCUUAUUUUGUGGAAAUAUGGUAAGUUAAAUUCUAUAUUAUACGAACUUACUAAGCUUAAAUGCUUACUCUGUGUUAUUUUUCAUGUUUUAUAGUAAUUCAAAAGCUCAUUUAGGUUGGAAGCUUGUCGGAGCUAUUUCACACUAUCCAUGGGCUCUUUUGGUACUUUCAGUAAAUUAAUUCUGGUUAUAAUGACAUGUGUAGGAUAUUUAGGCCAAUGAUGGUAUAUAAAUGUUUUGUUGAGAUAAGCCAUUUGAAUGGCUUGUGUUUGAUAUACUUCGAUGUGUUUAUAUAUGUGGCCUUAACAUAUUUAAUGUGUGUUUGAUAUGGUUGAAUGAUGGAAAACUUAUAGGUAUAUUGAUGAUUGGUUUGAAAUAGUAUAUUUGGUACAAUUAUGUAUACAUUCAUUUGGUUAUCUAGAUAAAUAUGGAUAUUGGUUGUAUGUUGUGAUAAUACAUGUUUAAGACUUGAUUUUAGCUUGAUUUGAAUGCCUUGUUAUGGCUUGUUGAUAUGCGAAUUGUUGUGUUUAGGUUGGUACCAAAUUGGGUGAGAAAUGUGGCUUGGAAAUGGCCUAUUUUUGUCCACAUGGGUAGAGACACGGGUGUCUGUCUCAGUCGUGUAUGACACACGCCUGUAUAUCCUCUGUAUCUUUUAAAUUGCGCAAGUCAAUAUGCUUAACACGGCCUAGCACAAGGGCGUGUGACUUGGUGUAUGGCCCAAGUCAAGGAGUUACACAGGCACAGAUACGGGCUGGGACACAGUCGUAUGUCCCUAUUUUGAAUGCCCACACAGCUCUGUGUCCCCUGCAACUUUGAAAAAUUUUAAUGUUUUUUGAAAAAGAAUUUAAUACCCAAUCUAGUCCCGACUUAUUUCUAACAUGUAUUUUGGGCCUCAAGGGCUCAUAUAAGGAACAAUAUGUUAGAUUUCGAUUUAUUUCUGAUAUGAAUGUUAUAUUAUAUGAAAUGUUUAAUUAAUUGAUCUGUAAACUCUGGUAAUACUCUAUAACCCUAUUCCGACAAUAGAUACAUGUUAGAAGUGUUACAAAAAGUCUAUCGGUGGUGUGUUUCUCGUGUGGGUGAUAUGGCCACUCUAAGGAAGUUUGGCCGCAAGGUUUAAUAGUAAUGGAUUCAUCGGGGGAGAAAGAUUUGAUGAUUGGAAUCUCCUAUGUGAUUUCUGGUUCAAUGGUCGAUACAGACGAGUUUGACCCUUGGAUGCUAGUGGAGAGGAAGAUUAGGCGUAACCCACGUGAGCACAACAACUUUGGUAAGUCUGGAAAUGCGAAGAAAUCUUCAAGAUCAAGAUUUCAUGCUUUAACUUCUCUCAACAUGGAUGAGUUGAGAAGUGAUUUGGGGAAUGAUGAUAAUUCUAUGGGUUCGAAAAGGCAUGGGAAAGAAAUAAUAAACGUUAAUUCUGGAUUUUAUCAAGGAGAAAAAAAUAUAAUAUUAGGCUUAGAAUAGAGCAUGUGAGGAUUUUGAUUAAUGAUAAUAGUUUAGUCCAACGUGAAUAGUCCAAACCCAUUGUUUCUAAAAAGAGCUCAAGCUGUUUGGAUGGGCAAGGUAUUGGGUAGAGUAAAGGGACUGGAUAUGCACUAGGGCCUGGUGGGGAUUUCGCUGAUCUAUUGGAAGGUGGGAGUAUCUGUAUUUCUUUGAGCUAUGGUGGAAAGGUCCAAAAGAUUGUUGGGUUGAAGGAGACUGGUUUUGUAGAUCCUUCAGAUGUUCUUGGUCGAAGUGUUGGUGGGGUGUGAGACAUGGUGACCUUUGUUCCUGCAAGUUUCAGUAAUAAAAACUCCCUUCAUUUUAACCUAGCGCUUGAAAACUUGUCAUCGGUGCAUGUGGUUGUGAAUGAAGGGGUUCUUAACACUAGAAAAGACACGACUGUUAUUUUCCAAGAAAACUCAAACCUAAAUUUGACUAAGUUAAACGUCGAUAAUGAAGCAGUUAAAUCAGGAAUGUCUUCUAUUCCAAUUAAAGGAUGGAAUAGUGGAGGAAAAGUCAUGGGUUCUAAAAGAGGUUGGAAGAUUAACAAAACUCUAAAAUGGUCAAGCAAUCGGUUUAAAGCAUUGGGUAAUUCACGGGUUUCUCUUGUCGGGUCUAUGUUGUUGGCAGCUGAUCUUAUCUCCUCUGAACUAGAUGGGUAAGUCAUCAAAGAGACGGUGAUAGAAGGGAAGGAAUGAUCGAAAUGUGUUAUCAUUGGUCAACAGUAAAUGUGGUUUUUUUUUUCUAUUUUUGUUAUGAAUUUAUCUAUUCAAUCUUGGAAUGUGCAGGGGUGUGCGAAUUUGAAAUUCCUAUGAAUCUUUCAUGAGUAUAAAUCGGACAUUAUCAAUUUGCUUGAGUCGAGAAUUAAUGGUUUUAAAUUUGAUGCUAUCAUUGCCAAAUUCGGGCUGGAAAGGUCUCAUCGAGUGGAAGCGGUUGGCUUCUCCGAAGGUAUUUGGUUAAGAUGGAAGAAGUUUAUUGAUGUUGAGGUGAUUAAGUCUCAUCCCCAAUUUAUUUUUAUUUGUAUUUGUUUAUUCUUUAGUCACAACCAAUUUUUGUUGCUUUUGUGUACGGUAGUCUUGAUAGACAGAAAAUGAGGCUUCUCUGGAAGGAUUUGAGGUUAUUUAUUCCUUCAAGGCAUUUUCCUUGUAUGGCUAUUUGGGAUUUAAAUGCUAUUCUCUCAGUAGAGGAAAAGAAAGGUGGUCAAGUAGCAGGUCAGACAUGUUCAUUUUUUUGGUGAGUUUGCGGAUAGAACUAAAGUUUAUGAUUUGGGAUUUGAAGGAUCUCCUUUCGCUUGGCAUCGUGGUGCACUUUUUGAGAGGUUGGAUUGGGCUCUAGGUAAUGAUGCUUGGGUGAAGUCUUUUCUUAACUGCUUGGUAACAUAUCUCUUAAGAAUUAAAUCAGACCCAGACCUAUUCUUCUCACAUUAUAGUCAUAUUUCUUUUUACCAAAUGGUAUGCCCUUUUAGUUUUUAGUUGGGUGGUUGGAACAUCUGAAUUUUCCAGAGUUUGUUUUAGAUAAUUGGAGUUUUGAUAGUGACAUGUUAGGCACUCUAGCUCAAUUCACAGACAGACUUAGAGACUAUGAUAAUACUCUAAAAUGUCAUACUUUUAUGUGUUAAUUAUAUAUAUUUUUAGUAUGAUCCUACUAAUUUUGGAUUUUUAUGGUUUUUUAUCUUGUAGGGACUACAUGAAAGGCAAAAGGAAGUUUAAGAGUAAAAAUCAUGAAUUUAAAGACAAAAUGGGUCAGCAUGCAAAAUAGGAAAGAAGUGGCGUUGAAAAUACAAAGUGUGAAAGACUUGGGGCAAAAAUUCAAAGAAGAGAUUUAUGAACAGAAGACUUUAUUUAAAUUUGAAUUGUAUCUUUAGGAUAAUUAUUAGGAUUAUUAUGAUAUUAUUUAGAUUUAAUUUCAAAUUAUAUCUUUAUUUAUCUUUUAGAGUUUAAAUAGGAACAAACUAGGUUUUCUAUGUACUAUAACAAAGGGGAUUGAGUGACAUGAAUAUUCACUCAUCGCAUCUGUAAAAAACUCCUUCCUCCUAAGGCUCUUAGCCUUUUUGUUCCUUUUAUUUUUCAAUAAAAUUUCAUUCCAUUAAACUUAUUUCUUUUUUCCUGAAAAGCAUGAGUCACUAAACUCAUCUAGCUAAAGGUUAUCAAGACUCCUCCAAAAGAGUUCAUGAGGCUUAGAAUCCUCACUUAGCCUUCUCAACGACAAUUCAUCAUUUUUUUAUAUUACAGGACUGACGCCUCCGUCCAUGUCAUUCCAAAAGUAAUCUUUUCAUCUUGUGUAAGGAAUAACCGCUUUGUAUGUUUUGAUAAAGUUGCAUAGUCGGUUUUUUAAUUUUAUACUUCAAAAGUUGUCGAGCCCAAUAGACGAAAUAGCGUAGCAUUCGCUAUUGAAAAAUGAUGAUCUAGUGUAAGAUGGUCCUACAAAAAUAAUAGUUGGCUAGAGUCAAGUUCCUCUAGAUCGUAAGGCUAUAAUCUAAGUGGAGCUAGUGGUCAUAGGCGUCCUCUUCCACUAUAAUUGGCUUAUUUGGUCAUGAGAAUGAUCACUUAAAAGCUGAUGAUUGAACCAAAGGAGGAUAAAGAUAACCGAAGGUUGGAAUCCCUCAAAUCGAAUAAUCUCUUUCCUUAACUCUGUUUCUUUUUACAAUUGCAAUUUCAAUUUAUACAAUUUCAACUCGUCCAUACUUUUAAUUCUGUUCUUUUUUAUUUUUUUUCUCUCAAUUCAGAACUUUUUCUUGGGCACGACUAUUCCCAAGAUUUAGAGGAAUAAGAAGUUUUAGCAAUCUAGUUCCUGAGGAUUUGACCCUACUUUCAUUAUACUAUUCUUUUCAUUAUUUCUUAGGGAUAGGUUAUUUUUUGUGCCUUUAACAACACACCGGACUAGAAAAAAUGUGUUCAUGGCCAUAUCAAUACUUGUAAAUGACAGUUGAUUCAUAAGUUGGUUGGUAUUCAGCAGGCCAUGGAUCUUUCUAGUUCUAAUAGUUUGGCACAGCGUAAAUUAAAGACUUUAGAGGAGUUAGAAGAUGUUGUUUAUUAUGAAGAAUUGAUUUGGAAGCAGAACUCGAAACGUGAUUGGCUGAGCUUGAGGGAUCGUAAUACUAAGUAUUUUCAUAAACAAACGAUUCAAAGAAGAAAGUAAAAUAAUAUAAUAUUCUUGCACAAUUCAGAUGGUGAAUGAAUUUUUAAGCCCGAAGCUUUACAAUUAGAGGUUCUUGCACUCUUUUAAAAGUUGUGUCAUGAGGUUCCUGGCCCUUAGGAGUUUGGCUCCAAGUGGUUUUGUAACAGCCCUUUUUAGCUCCAAUUUUUCCUGGGCUCGCCGAGUCUUGAGUUCUUGAUCCUUGAUCUUCUUUAAAUGGCCUAUUGACGGCUUCAAUCUGCUUCACUGCAACUCAGGAAUGCGACAUCUGCUAUCUUUGAUCUGCUCCCCGUCAAAUACAGAGAUGCCAAAUCUGUUAUCUUCGAUCUGCUCCCCGUUUAAUACAGAGACGCCAAAUCUACUUCUUCAAUCUGCUCCCCAUCUAAUACAGAGAUGUCAAAUCUGUUAUCUCUGAUUUGCUCCCCGUCUAAUACAGAGAUGCCAAAUCUGUCAUUUUGGAUCUGCUUCGAUGUAACACAUGAAGGUCAGAUCUACUAUGUCUUCGAUCUGUUUCCUGUCUAAUACAGAGAUGCCAAUUCAUCUUGGAUCCACUUCAAGGAAGGUCCAAUCUGUUAUGUCUUUGAUCUGCUCCCCGUCUAAUACAGAAAUGCCAAAUCAUCUUGGAUCUGCUUCAAUGAAAGUCAGAUCUGCUGUGUCUUCGAUCUGCUCCCCGUCUAAUACAGAGAUGCCAAAUCAUCUUGGAUCUGCUUCAAUGAAGGUCAGAUCUGCGAUGUCUUCGAUCUGCUCUUCGUCGAAUAUGGAGAUGCCAAACCUGUUUCUUCGAUUUGUUCUCUGACAGUACAGAGAUACCAAAUCAUCUUAGAUCUGCUUCAACGUAAACAUGUGAAAGCCAAAUCUGCUAUGUCUUCGAUCUGCUCCUUAUAAACGCAAGGAUACCAAAUCAUCUUGGAUCUACUUCGAUGUGAAAACAUCCGAAGGUUAGAUUUGCUAUGUCUUCAAUCUGCUCUCCGUCGAAUAUGGAGAUGCCAAAUCUGUUUCUUCGAUUUGUUCUCUGACAAUACAGAGUUGUUAAAUCAUCUUAAAUCUGCUUCAACGUAAACACCUGAAGGUCAAAUCUACUAUGCUUUAGCCUGUUACCCGACUGCUUAGGGGGUUAAGGCGCAUCAAUCUUCAUUGUCCCUUGAAGGACAUAACCUGUAUAAUGUGUAUGAGUUCAUGCCUAAUGAUUAGGAUGCUAUGAUCGAAGUGAGUCAAAUGCUCCUAAUUAAACCUGUUAUAAUGCAAAAUGUUUAUGAAUAUGACCCCUAUUCCAGACGUCACCACUCAUUCUUUCGUCGAAGUUUAUCCUUAUUUCUCUCGAAGUAUCAUUCCUACUCAGCCUGUGGGUUUGUACCAUUCUUCAAAUGCUAUGACCCACCAAAAAUGUCUGUAAGAUGAUCCUCUCUUAGGAUCGAAUUGUUUGAUUUGUCCAAUCAUCAUUUUGGACUAAAGAAAGAAUUUCCUCGAGUUCUUUCAAACCUCACUUACGUGAAUUCUUCGAAAAAUUGUUCUGUUUUAGUUUCUUGUAUUAUCUAGAAAUUUCUAGAGUAACGAGCAAAACUUCAUUUGUGAAAAUUAUUUAGUUCGUUUAUCAUUAUUUUAAUGCAACAUACUUUAAGAAUAAUGGAAGAUGAAUUUAAUCUUGAGAAUAAUUAGCUUUGAAUAAAUUUGUCAAAAAUACAAAGGAAAUUAAUCUGAAAGCCUAUCUUUGAGAAGAAAAAGAAUCUAAAGAUAGCAAACAGGACAAAAGUUAGAUGCCCUAGAUAUCGCCGCUUGAGCGUUUAUAUGCCAGCUCUAUGCAGACUUUCUUGAAUUCAACAUGUGUUUAAAAGAUCCAAAGUACUUUGUUGAUGCCCCGAUAUGCAACGUACUUCACUCUUCGUUGAAUCAGAUAUAGCAAGAUUACCGUGUGCUCUUUAAAAUUUGAGCUGCCCUUUCGGGUUUUCAACUCAAAACUCCUUUGGUCACAAGGCGCCCUUUUCGAAUUUUCACCUUGGCCUCUCCAUUUUUUUUUUGAAAAACUCAAGGCGCCCUUUGCGGGUUUUCACCCUGAAUUCUUCUCUCUUUUAGACAAAGUACUUUUUUACUGAGUCUGAAUUCACUGGAUUGGGCAAACUCUUCGCAUCCAUUUUCGUUAAGAUCAAUGUACCCCUAGAGAAGGCCUUCUUCACGACAUACGACCCUUCCCAAUUUGGCAUCCAUUUUCCUCUAAAGUCCUUCUGAAUAGGGAGGAUCUUUUUCAACACAAGAUCCCCCUUAUGGAAUUCUCUUGGUCACACUUUCUUGUCGUAAGCUCGCAUCAUUCGCUUCUGAUACAUCUGACCAUGACGAAUGGCCUUUAGCCUCUUUUCUUCAAUCAAGUUCAACUGAUCAUAUCGCGAUUGUAUCCAUUCAGCUUCAUUCAACUUUAUCUCUGACAAGACUCGAAGAGACGGUAUUUCCACUUCAAUGGGUAACACUGCUUCCAUCCCAUAAACCAACGAGAAAGGAGUUGCCUCGGUAGAAGUUCUGACAGAUGUUCGGUAAGCUAAGAGUGCAAAUGGUAACUUCUCAUGCCAGUCUUUGUAGGUUUCAGUCAUUUUCUCCACUAUCUUCUUGAUGUUUUUGUUAGCAACUUCCACUGCCCCAUUCAUCUUUGGAUGAUACGGAGAAGAGUUAUUAUGCUUAAUCCUGAACUGACUGCAAACUUUUGCUAUCGUUUUGUUGUUCAAGUUCAGUGCAUUGUCUGAUAUGAUCCUUUCAAGCAUCCCAUACCGACAAAUAAUCUCUUUCUUCAAGAAUCGACUUACAGCCGACUUAGUAACAUUCGCAUAAGAAUCAGCCUCUACCCACUUCAUGAAGUAAUCAAUGACCAUAAAAAUAAAGUGAUGCCCAUUUGAAGCGUUUGGUGAUAUUGGCCCAAUGACAUCCAUGCCCCACAUAGAAAAAGGCCAUGGAGAAGUCAUAACGUGUAGAGGUGAAAAUGGUACAUGAAUCUUGUCUCCAUAAAUCUGACAUUUAUGGCAUUUUUGGCAUAGUUGAUACAAUCCCCUUCCAAAGUAGACCAAUAAUAUCCAAACCUCAUGAUUUGUCUAGCCAUCGUGAAACCAUUAGCGUGCAUCCCACAAAUACCCUCGUGAAUGUCUUCUAAGAUUAACUUAGCUUCCACGGCGUCAACAUAUCUCAACAGUACUUGGUCCUUUCUUCUUUUGUACAAGAUGUCCCCAUCCAAAACGUAGUCGCAGGCUAAUCUUCUUAAAGUUCGCUUAACAUUUUCAGUUGCCUGUUCUGGGUAUUUACGAUCUCUCACAUAUCACAAUAUAUCCUGAUACCAAGGGUUAUCAUCCUUUUCUUCUUUUUCAAUGUUACAACAGUGAGCUGGAGCCUCAAAGAUACUCAUCUGAAUAGGUCUCAUCUCCUCCUCUUUAUUCACUUUAAUCAUUGAAGCCAAGGUUGCUAGAGCAUCUUCCAUCUGGUUUUCGUCUCGUGGGAUAUAAUUGAAAGUGAUGUCAUCGAACUCCUUAAGUAACCCCGAAACUACCUUUCGAUAAUUGAUCAAUUUAGGAUCCCUUGUCUCUCAUUCACCUUUAAGCUGGUAAAUUACCAACGCAGAGUCUCUAUAAACUUCCAAGGUUCUUAUUCUUCGCUCUAUAGCCGCUCGGAGUCCCAUGAUGCACGCUUCAUACUCGGCCAUAUUGUUUGUGCAAUCAAAAUCCAACUUGCACGUGAAUGGGUAAUAAUCACCAUUUGGGGAUACCAAGACUGCCCCAAUUCCAUUUCCCACUGCAUUGGAUGCCCUAUCAAAGCUCAACUUCCAAGGAUAAUCCUCUGUAGCUGCUACACACAUCAACUAUUCAUUUGAGAAAUCAAAAUUCAAUGGCUCAUAGUCUUCUAGAGCUUUACUAGCCAGAAAUUUCGCUAUCGCACUUCCUUUUAUAGCCUUCUGGCUCACAUAAACUAUGUCAAACUCUGAAAGCAGAAUUUUCCACCUCGCCAUUCUUCCAUUCAAAGCUGUUGACUCCAUCAUAUACUUUAGAGGAUCAAGUUUUAAAAUAAGCGAAGUAGUAUGAUACAACAUAUACUGCCUCAACCUUCGAGUCGUCCAGAUUAAAGCACAGCACAAUUUCUCACUUGGCGAAUAUCUCAUCUCACACUCUGUGAAUUUCUUACUGAAGUAGUAUAUCGCCUUCUCCUUUCUUCCCGACUCGUCAUGUUGGCCAAGCACACAUCCCAUAGAAUUGCUAAACACUGAUAAGUACAGAAUUAAUGGUCUACCUGGAUUAGGUGGAGAUAACACAGGAGCAUUUAACAGGUAUUGCUUAACCUUAUCGAAAGCACUCUGGCAUUCCUCAUCCCAAGUACCUUGGUUGUGUUUUCUAAAGAGGCGAAAUAUAGUGUCACAUUUCUCAGUUAAUUGUGAAAUAAACCGAGUAAUAUAAUUCAACCUUCCAAUAAAACCCCGAACUUCUUUAUGAGUAUACGGUGAAGGUAAAUCUUGUAUGGCUCUAACUCUGUCUGAAUCAACUUCUAUUCCUUUUUCACUGACCACAAAACCUAGUAACUUCCCCGAUCUGGCUCCGAAAGUGCAUUUUGCCGGAUUAGGUUUUAACUGAAACUUCCUUAAUCUCAAGAAUAGUUUCUUUAAAACCUCAAUAUGUUUCUCCUCUGUUUGAGAUUUGGCAAUCAUAUCAUCAACAUACACAUCAAUUUCCUUGUGCAUCAUAUCGUGAAAUAAGGUUACCAUAGCCCUUUGGUAUGUUGCCAUGCAUUCUUUAGCCCAAAGGGCAUUACCUUGUAACAGAAAGUCCCCCACAAGGUUAUGAAAGUGGUUUUUUCCAUGUCUUCAAGAUGCAUCUUUAUCUGAUUGUACCCUGAAAAACCAUCCAUGAAGGAGAACAACGAAUAUCCCGCUAUGUUGUCUACCAAAGUGUAUGUGAGGCAGAGGGAAAUUAUCUUUUGGGCUAGCUUUGUUCAGAUCCCUGUAAUUAACACACAUUCAUACCUUCCUAUCUCUUAGGAACUGGUACAAUGUUAGCUACCCAUUCAGAAUACUUCACCUCUUGUAAGAAUCCUGCAUCGAACUGUUUCUUGACUUCAUCCUUUAUUUUUAAUACGAUAUCUGGUCUCAUUCUUCGCAACUUCUGUUGAACUGGUUUACAAUCCUGUCUUAUUGGAAGACGAUGCACCACAAUAUCAGUAUUUAACCCUGGCACAUCUUGAUAGGACCAUGCGAAGAUAUCCUUGAACUCACGUAACAACUCAAUCAGUCAUUGCCUUAUAUCAUCAGCAAUAUGCGUGCCAAUUUUCACCUCUUUCCCUUCCUCUAGGGCUACAUUCUCUACUGCCUCUUUCUCAUGUGGCAUGAUUUGUUUCUCCUCCUGUUUCACCAUCCUCAAAAGAUCUAGAGACACAUCACAGUCCUGGACAUCUUCAAAAUCCUGUGAUUCCUCUAAACACAUGUCUUACUCACGAGAGAAAUCAGGAUUUGUAAUAUCAAUGCUAAUGUCAUUGAUAUCUAGGGAUCUGUGAAGUAUAAAGAAUAUACAAAAAAUGAAUGAAUUUAAGAAUGAUUAUUUAUGUGCUAUGAAUGAAAGAAUAAGAAUUGCCAAAAUUAAACGAAAUAUUGGUUGAUAAAAAUGAAACAAUACUCGUUCAAAUUGAUAAAAGUUAUGUUUUAUUAAAAAAAAUAAUAGAUGAUCGUAAGCCCAUUCCACAAAUGUAAUCCUAUUACUCCUAGGCCCUAGAGUAAUAAGAAUGUUUCGAGAAUUAUUCUGAAAAAUUCCUAAAGACUACAGGAAGUUCCUCCGCAGUCCAAUUGUUCAGAGAGCUUCCCGGUUCGUAAGGGCGAAUGCCCUCAAGGUUUCCUUAAUCAGUCCCUUCUCCAUGUAUGGCAUUGAUGGAAUGAUUUUCAUUUCCAAACACCCUCAUCUCUAGGUAAGCUAUCCCUCCUGAUACAAAAGUCUAGGAUAUGUAAGGGAACGUCUUCUUUUCGCUCAGCCGUGACCCUCUUCUCUCUUUCUUUCUCUUUUUAACAUUAAUUAGGGUCUUUCUAUAAACUUGAAUGCAUAUAAUACAAUGAGAUGCUAUGAAAUGCAAAUGCGUGAAUGCAAAAAGAUGUCGAUUCUGAUUCAAUUUCAUUUUAGAAAACGUUAUUUAAGGAACAAAAAUCUUUUCAUAAAACGGAUUACAAAUACGCUUUCGCUCGUAGGCUUAGAGUCUUAACCCUAUCUAAUAACAAUGUUAACUCUUGUCCUCUGUCUGAAGAUGACUCAUACAUUAUACUCAGCGUUCUAGCUUGUACUGUCAAAUCUUGCAAGUGUUCAGCAGCCUCUCGAAUCUGAACUAAGGCUUCUCCCAUGAGAUAAUCCCUAUUUCUAACUUGAUCCUGAAGAUGGUGAAGUUCUCCCUUCCACUGUUCUUAUCUUGCCUCGAGCUACUCAAUCCGUAGCUCACAGCCCUAUAGUGCUGCUUCCAACCUUUCGAUAUCGUGUUUCAUUUCUUUGAUUUUAUUCAAGCUUGCCUUUAACUCGAUUGUAAGGUUACAACUUCGGUGAUGAUGAAGAGAUCGUCCAAGUUCAUCCACCUUAGUUUUUAAUCCUUGAUUUUCCUUCUCUAGGGCCUAAUUACGCGACUGCAUCUCUUGGAAUUUCUUCUCCCAAUACUCGGCUUUAGCUCUUUCUUCCUGAAUCUCUUGUUGCCACUGCUCUGGAGAUAUCCCUAAUCUGACCCUUUUCAACGUUACCUGGGUCUUUUUGUAGCACGUCUUUAAAUAAUCUCGAUCUUCCUCGAUCUUUAUCUUUUCCUUUUUCACCUUCUCGACUUCCAUAUUUUGAACAUCGACGUCGAGACUUAAGCACAUUUUUCCCCUUCGAGCUUCUCAAUCCUCUUUUCAAUCUUUGAAUUAUUUCUCUCGAACUCUUGCUUCAUAACCUCUAACUCUGAUGGAAUCACUCGUAAGCUCUCCUCUAAUGAUCGAGCCACUCCCAAAAUUGGCCUAAGGAUAUUAUCAUUGACUCUCCUACUAAACCACCUUUUAUACUCAAGGAUUGAUGUCGAGCCUUCGGUCAAGAUCUUCAUACAGAAAGGCUUCUUCCAAGCCUCAGAAAUCUCUCGCAUCUUCUUCUUAUAGUGAUCUCCUUUAUAAGAGAAAUCACUUUGAGCUAGACCCUGUGUAACCGGUAUGAACUACCUCGCUUUAUAUUGCCUUAGAACAAGCAAUGGUGCAUAUCCAACAACUCCCCAAAUUCUUGGCAAAGGGACCCAAUCAAAACUGCCACAGCGGUAAAGGACUUCACUAGGAACCAACCAAGGAGCCUUCCACAUAACAUCUUCCUCUCGAAAAUUCUAAAGAAUGUCUAUCCACAUCUCCUCUGAAAUGUCAUCUCUCCUCAGCAUGUCUACUGCUUCUUUUAAGGGAGAAUAACCCUCAAAGAAUACUCGGCAAAGAACCUUAUCAAGCUUCUAAAAAUGACUGUGGAACCAAACUAACAGCAACUGUGCACAUCUAAUGAAUCUACCUUCGUCGGCUCUCCGACAUGCACUCAAAGAUCUAAAUGUCUCAGCUAGGAUUGCUGGUAUCAGUGUAUUCUGCUUACCAACACGAUCGAACAAAUCCGCAACUGCUUCAUCUAUAUGCCCCAACGCCUUUGAGAAAAUCACCAUGCCGUAAAUACUCAAAGCCAGGACGUCGACCCUUUUUCUUUAUGUCUGGAUAUGUCGAUAUCAAAUCCCUCAAAACGGCCCAUGGAACGCACUUACUAUCACCCUUUUGCUGUAUACGAGCUACAGCCUACUGCUCACUCAUCCUAGUAAUCAUCACCAACUUCUUUGCAAAAGUUAGAAGACUAGCAGGCCUAACAUAAGCCUUGUGACCCUGAAUCCUCGGGCAACUUAGUAAAGUCGUAUACUCCUCCAAAGUAGGUGCAAGAUCAACAUCACCAAAUGUAAAGCAACUAUAAGCAGGGUUCCAGAACUGUACCAUAGCUCGAAACAAGUGCCUAUCUACUUUGACGUAUAGCAAAUAGGGAAGGUCUCCAUAAUUCUGAUAGAAAAGCUGCUUAGCCUCGUCAUCCCAUUGGGCCCAAAUGUUUCUCAGCUCCUAAAACUCAUUCUGCGUCGAAUUAAUACGGGUGAAGUCCCAUAACUCUGACGUAUAUCCUUCGGUGACACUAUCUCCUUUCUCUAACUGGGUUUUCUCUGACCAGGUACAGACAGAAGCAUUGUCCUCCACUCUAUCAAGGUAUUCAUUCCUCAUUACAAAACUUUCUAAUCUAGAAAUUGAGCCGUGAAUCGACACCUUUAAAUGCCAAAUGACAUGCAAUGACAGCAAAAUAAAAAUAAGUCAGUAUCAUAAAAAAAUGAUAAACAAGUACUUACAAGGGUAGCUUACUAAAGGCUAUCAUUAUCUUUCCUAAACUCUUUAAAGUUCACUAUAUGAGUUUUAACUCUAAAGCCAAGGUACCUGAACCAGCAGAUUCCUUGGUCUUCACCCAUUAUAGGCUCAUAUAGACCAAGUUCAGUUCAGGGGGACACGUUUCCCUAUGGCCAUACGGAGAUGAAAAUCUCACGAAGACAUAGGUACAAUAUUCCGGAAGCAAUCCACUAGCUCAUCGAAGGUGAAAACCUUACGAAAGCGUAGCUUCUCACUCCCACUUAAGGGUGUGACCACAACGGUCAUGCAAAUGCAAUGUACAGCAAUAAGGUAACAAACAUAUGCAGCAAACACAUGUAAAAAGGAUCCAAUUUUAAAUUUAAAAAACUUCCGACAUUAAGACAGAAAAUACUCAAUUUCUUGGCUUUACUCUCUUAAUUCCCCAGCGGAGUCGCCAAGCUGUCGAAACCAUUUUUUUAAAGGGAUGUUUGAAAAAUGGGGAUCGAUUUUUGAAAAACGAAAACGGAAGUCGCCACCAACCUUUUUAGGUGUGAUUGGAUCAUCUUAUAAAACGUUUUGGUCUACGAAAAUUAAGAAAACAGGUUCAGGAGUCGGUUACGUAUGAGGAAGGAUUAGCACCCUCGCAACGCUCAAAAUUGGUACCAAAUUGAAUAGUUUUCUGUCUUAAUGUCAAAAAUUUGAAAGUAUUUAAAAAUAUGAUCCCUUUUUUAAAACCGAAAUUAUUUAAGUUGAAAAAUCGAGAUUCCUUAGCUCUGAAAGAAUACAAACAUCACAUCUAGCAUUAUAGGACACGAUAUUCUUAAACUCUCGUAACUGAAAUCAUCUCGUGAUUUACAAAAUCUAUUUAGAAGGAUACUUUAGGCAUUUAGACAAACAAGAAAUCGCAACCCAGCAUAUUAGGGCUCUAUUUCCCGAAUUCCUAAAUACGAAAAACAUUGCCUCAUUUUAGAAAAACUUUUGGAUAAAAUAUGACAAUUAAAUUAAAUAUAUUUUUUUUAAAAUAAUGAUUUGAGUAAAAUUUUAAAAAAUAAUUUACUAAGAGUAAUACUAAAAAAAAUUUUUAAAAAAUGAAAGAGUUUGAUAUGAUACUAAAAUUAUUAAAAAAUUAAAAUAUAUAAAAAAAAUCAGGGAACAUGGAUUAAAUCAAAAUAAAAAGGGUUGAAAAACGAAGAUGAACAAAGAAUGAAAUAAGAACAUACCGUAGAAAAUAAGAACGUAAGAAGGAGAGAAAUUUGAGUGAAAGCUCUCAAAAAUUUUUAUUAUUUCCCAAAACUCCAGUGUGUUUACAAUAAAGGGAGAGGCCUCUAUUUAUAGUUGAACCUCCUCAAAUCCAACGGUACAGAUCAAUUACAUCAACAGUUAAGAUUAAAAGGUAUCUACAAAUUAAAUCUCUAAAAUUACAAAAUCAUAUCUUCUAAGAUUGCAUAUCAUAUCUAAGAUUGCAAUCAUAUCUAAGAUUACAUAUCAUUGAAGAUUAUAUUUCCAUAUGAGUCAAGCUUGUAGAUGGACCUUAAAUCUUUUCAAGUAAUGGGCCAUUCCGAUCGAGCCAAAUUAUAUUUGUAAUUUUGGACUGAACUUGGACUUCAUAUUUUUUUGGGUUUAUUAUUUUUGUUUUUGGACUUAUUUCUGGGCCCGAGCAAAAUUGAGUGUCUACACGUAUUAUAUUUUUUAUAUAAAAAUUUAAAACAUAAUACAUCAAAAACACUAAAAAUAUUAAAAUAAAUGUUUCACAAUAAUUUGAAAAUAAAUUUAAAAAAGUCUUUAAACUUAACUAACACUAAGAUAAGUGCAACUUAACAAGUAAAUGCCUCUAAAAUAAUAGCAAAAUUAAAAAUAAAACAAGAGUUAUACAAUAUCCAAAAAAAAUAGUAACAACAUAAUAAUGAAUGCAACAAAACAAUGAGAAAACAACAGCAAAACAACAAUUUUUUUUUGCAAAUUUGGGCCGGGCUAGAGCAAAAAAUCCUUACCCAAGACUCGGCCCAUUUUCUAAAUGGGCCUUAUUUUUUUGCACUAACUCAUUUUUAGGAUUUAUAUUUUUGUUCAAACCCUCUCACUUUUUAAAUGACCUAACCCAUGGAGAGCUUUAGUUGAAACUUUCACAAAUGACUUCCCUUCUUAUAAGAUCGAGCAUUUUGAAUAAGAUGACAACACUUUUGCAUUUCCUUUUCCCCUUCUUACGAAUACGUUAAAUGUUGUUAUUGACGUAUUCUUAAUUUCUUAUCCGAUUCACCAUGUCUCAUAGUUUUUGGGUUAAAAAUUUAAAAAUGUUUACUUAGACCUAUUCAUGAAUCAGGUCAUGCUCGAGUCCUAAAAGUUUUCAAGUCCAAACCCAUUUUUGCUUGGCCCACCUAAAAAAUCCAUUUCAUUGUUCAAAAAUUAAUAAAAUAUUAUAAAUAUGUAUUUUUAUUUUAUAAUUAAAUUAAAUUUUAAAAAAAUAUUUUUAUCAUUUAAAUUAAAUUUGAGUCAGUCCAAUCCUAAAUACAAAAAGCCUUGUACAAGUCGGGUUCAACUACUACAUGGACAUGUCUAUUAAUUUACUUUAUGAAUUGUAACAAGGUCUCUCCAAAUUUUGUGCUAUUAGCUUGGUUCAUAUUAAAUCAAAUUUGAAUGAUUUUUUUAUUUUUAAUUAGAUUAAUUAUAUAUAAAAAAUAUUUUUAUGUAAAUUUAAUUAUAAAGUAUAUAAAAUAUUAGAAUAAAAUAAUUUGUAAAUAAUGAUAAAAACUCUGAAUCGACCCGAUUUGAGUUGGGCUUAGACAAAGUUUUUUUAUGUCUCAUACUGUGCCAACUUGAACUCAAUUUAAAUAAUAAUAAAUAUUUUAAAUUAAAUCUAGUUACAAAAUAUUAAUAUAAAAAUAUUUUUAAUAUUUUAUUUUUUUAACGGUGAAAUGAAAUUUUGGUAAUGGUGGGCUGAAAAUAGUUUUGGGCUUGAAUGUCUUUGUAACUUGAGCAAUGAGUCGGCUUGGCUCAACCAAUAAAUAAAUCUAAGUAAAUAACAUCAUAUUUUGAAUUUUUUUUAAAAUUUUUAAAUUUUUUCAUAUAUUUUAAAAUAAUUUUUACUUUUAAAAAUUUAAGGAGCUUUUAAUUUUUCAUAAUUUUUUAUAUUUUUAUUGAAAAUACAUAAAAAAAUUUAAUUUUAAAUUUAUUAAAGAGAAGGGACCUAAUUAGCAUAAAAUUGUAAAUAAUGAGGGCUGCAAAAGUUAUUUUAUUUUAUUUAUAAUAGUCAAAUCAAUCAUUUUAAUGGAAAAAUUGGCAGAGAAGUCAAUAUUUUUAAAUUAAAAAAUAUAAAGAUUAAAAUUUAAAUUUAAGAAUAAUAUAGAGACUUUUGAGAUAUUUAAAACUUUAAAAAAUUAAAGCAAAUGAUAAUAGUUUAAUAAACAUUUUUUAAAAAUUUCUUAACUAUAUUAUUGUUUGUGUGAAAUUACAAAUUUUUUAAAAAUAUAUAAUAAAUAACUUAAUUAACACAUUGCAAUGUAUAGGUGAAAGAAACUCACCAUUGGCACGGAGAAUUAGAUUAGGUUUUCAAAAUUGAGUAAAAAAUUUGCAUAGCAUGAUGCGACCAAAAUCUCAAAGAAAAUCGAGUAAAAAGCGAAGGCCGCGGAUGUUGACACAUUUCCUCAAACCAAUUGGCCAUGAAUGUGUCAAUGAAGGUUAAUUGGGACCUUUACCUCACCAUUAAAUUGAAGUCCUUUAACUAGGUGAACUCCAGCUGUCUCUCUGCAAACUCACAACUCUGGAUUUACCUGAAGGGUGCUGACACAAACAGGAAAUAAAUUUUUAGUUAAUAUCAAUUUGGACAACCAUGGAAGGAAAAGAGUUAAACAGCUACGGUUAUUCCCAUUUACGCAAAGGGUUCAAGUCGAACACAACAAAGCUUGAAGUUUGGACGCAUUGGGUUCCGUUUAGAUUAAAAACAUCAACCUUUUCGAACACACCUAAAUUUAUUUUAACUUAUUACUUAGCCCAAGAAGGUUGAGUAUGGUUUACGCAAAAUAGCUCGUCCUUAUUCUUUUCCCCCCUUUAACAACCCUUAUUCUAUAAAGAAGUCACACUUUCCCCCCUCAAAUACCCGCCUCUCUCACACGCAUAACAUACAACUUUUCUUUUUCUCUUUUCUUGUUCUUGUUCUUGUUCCCCUUGUUGAUAUUCUCUGUUAACUUUGAGGGACUAGUAUAAGAAGGCAAUGUGGGAUGGUGGGGUUGUAGGCUCGAUUUGGAGUUUGAAGUCUGCCUUCCUUCCGGUACCCCAACUCUUGUUGUUGGUUUUCAGGUGCUUUUGGGACUAAUUGGUUGCCUGUUUUUGAGGAUGAUGGAGAAGCUUAAUUUUGUAAACAACGGUGUGCUUAGAUUGCCUCCUGGAUUCCGUUUCCAUCCUACUGAUGAAGAGUUAGUCGUUCAGUACUUGAGAAGAAAGGUGCUUGCUUGGCCCUUACCUGCCUCUAUCAUACCCGAAGUUGAUGUUUGCAAAGCAGAUCCUUGGGACUUGCCAGGUUGGUUACCUUAAUUACACUUUCACACCUCACUCUUUCAAAGUUGCUUCCUUCUACUAUAUACCAUUAUAAAAAGCAAGCAGCUUGUUCUCGGUUGUUCUAUAGCUCUGGAAUUGACUUGUUGUAUCAAUUAUGGAAACAGCCUUCUGUAAUAGCUCUGAAUGUAACUAAUGACUGUUAAACAAUUAGAAGCCUUUAGGACAAAAUUAAAGACAUAAUUAGAUGGCCUGAUACAUUGGGGUCUAUGUUGUGUGUAUUAUCAAUCAGGUGAUUUGGAGCAAGAGAGGUACUUCUUUAGCACAAGAGAAGCCAAGUAUCCCAAUGGGAACAGGUCCAACAGAGCCACGUUUUCAGGAUAUUGGAAAGCCACAGGAAUUGACAAACAAAUUGUAAGUUGUAGGGGCAACCAAGUAGUGGGUAUGAAGAAAACUCUUGUUUUCUAUAGAGGAAAGCCCCCACAGGGGACUAGGACCGACUGGAUCAUGCAUGAAUAUCGCCUUGUUACCGCUGACACCUGCAAUGCCCCACAUAAGAAGAACCAAACUCAGGUCAAUUUUGGGUCUUUGCUCUUUACUGCCUGUACCUAUAGUUGUGAGCAUUUUUCAUAAGUUAAACAUCUCAUCCCAACCACAUUUCAGAACCUCUGGAGUCGGGGAAAUGGCAGUACAUUGUUGUUUUAAUGAUGCUAUGUUUGUUGGUCAGUCAAAUUAAUGAUUUGUAUUAAAGCCUAUGUAUGCAGAACCAUGUGGUGGCAGUGGAAAAUUGGGUGCUGUGCCGCAUAUUUUUGACGAAAAGAAGUGGUGGUGCUACUAAAAACGAGGAAGACAGUCUGCAAUCUAGCAACGAGAAGGGAGUUGGUAAAGCAAGGAGAAAGAGCCCUGUUUUCUAUGAAUUCCUGAGCAAGGAGAGGACGAACCUAAAUCUUGCCCCAGCAUCCUCCUCAUCUUGCUCCAGUGGGAUCACACAGGUUUCAAAUAAUGACACGGAUGACCACGAAGAAAGCAGUAGUUGCAAUAGUUUUCCUUAUUUCAGAAGAAAACCUUAAAAGCCGCAUUUCACAAGUAC
rnacentral:lncRNA from 1 species